UACGUAGGGGGCAAGCGUUGUCCGGAAUCAUUGGGCGUAAAGCGCGUGUAGGCGGUCCGGUAAGUCGGCUGUGAAAGUCCAGGGCUCAACCCUGGGAUGCCGGUCGAUACUGCCGGACUAGAGUUCGGAAGAGGCGAGUGGAAUUCCCGGUGUAGCGGUGAAAUGCGCAGAUAUCGGGAGGAACACCUAUGGCGAAGGCAGCUCGCUGGGACGUUACUGACGCUGAGGAGCGAAAGCGUGGGGAGCGAACAGG
rnacentral:rRNA from 1 species